rnacentral:rRNA from 1 species
UACGGAGGGGGCUAGCGUUGUUCGGAAUUACUGGGCGUAAAGCGCACGUAGGCGGCUUUGCAAGUUAGAGGUGAAAGCCCGGGGCUCAACUCGGAAUUGCCUUUAAAACUGCAUCGCUAGAAUUGUGGAGAGGUAAGUGGAAUUCCGAGUGUAGGGGUGAAAUUCGUAGAUAUUCGGAAGAACACCCGUGGCGAAGGCGGUUCUCUGGGACGGUACUGACGCUGAGGUGCGAAAGCGUGGGGAGCAAACAGG